rnacentral:rRNA from 1 species
AUUGAACGCUGGCGGCAGGCCUAACACAUGCAAGUCGAGCGAGCGGCGGACGGGUGAGUAAUGUAUGGGGACUGCCCGAUAGAGGGGGAUAACUACUGGAAACGGUGGCUAAUACCGCAUACUAUCGGAUAACCCAUAUGGGAUUAGCUAGUAGGUGGGGUAAAGGCUCACCUAGGCAACGAUCACUAGCUGGUCUGAGAGGAUGACCGGCCACACUGGGACUGAGACACGGUCCAGACUCCUACGGAGGCAGCAGUGGGGAAUUUUGCGAAAUGGGCGCAAGCCUGAGGCAGCCAUGCCGCGUGUAUGAAGAAGGCCUUCGGGUUGUAAAGUACUUUCAGCAGGGAAGCGUUACCUGCAGAGGAAGCACCGGCUAACUCCGUGCCAGCAGCCGCGGUAAUAC